rnacentral:rRNA from 1 species
AUUGAACGCUGGCGGCAUGCCUUACACAUGCAAGUCGAACGGCAGCAUGGAGAGCUUGCUCUCUGAUGGCGAGUGGCGAACGGGUGAGUAAUGCAUCGGAACGUACCGUGUAAUGGGGGAUAACGUAGCGAAAGUUACGCUAAUACCGCAUACGACCUGAGGGUGAAAGCAGGGGAUCGCAAGACCUUGCGUUAUACGAGCGGCCGAUGUCAGAUUAGCUAGUUGGUGAGGUAAAGGCUCACCAAGGCGACGAUCCGUAGCUGGUUUGAGAGGACGACCAGCCACACUGGGACUGAGACACGGCCCAGACUCCUACGGGAGGCAGCAGUGGGGAAUUUUGGACAAUGGGGGAAACCCUGAUCCAGCCAUUCCGCGUGUGCGAUGAAGGCCUUCGGGUUGUAAAGCACUUUUGGCAGGAAAGAAAUACGCAUCAAUUAAUACUUGGUGUGGAUGACGGUACCUGCAGAAUAAGCACGGCUAACUACG